rnacentral:rRNA from 1 species
UACGUAGGGGGCUAGCGUUGUCCGGAAUCAUUGGGCGUAAAGGGCGCGUAGGCGGGCCGCCAAGUCCGCGGUGAAAUCCCCCGGCUCAACCGGGGAACUGCCGCGGAUACUGGAGGUCUCGAGGGGGGUAGGGGCAUGCGGAACUACGGGUGGAGCGGUGAAAUGCGUUGAUAUCCGUAGGAACUCCGGUGGCGAAGGCGGCGUGCUGGACCCCUUCUGACGCUGAGGCGCGAAAGCCAGGGGAGCGAACGGG